GACGAACGCUGGCGGCGUGCCUAAUACAUGCAAGUCGAGCGGACUUUCAAGAAGCUUGCUUUUUGAAAGUUAGCGGCGGACGGGUGAGUAACACGUGGGCAACCUGCCUGCAAGACGGGGAUAACUCCGGGAAACCGGGGCUAAUACCGGAUAAUAUCUUCCUUCGCAUGAAGGAAGGUUGAAAGGCGGCGCAAGCUGCCGCUUGCAGAUGGGCCCGCGGCGCAUUAGCUAGUUGGUGAGGUAACGGCUCACCAAGGCGACGAUGCGUAGCCGACCUGAGAGGGGGAUCGGCCACACUGGGACUGAGACACGGCCCAGACUCCUACGGGAGGCAGCAGUAGGGAAUCUUCCGCAAUGGACGAAAGUCUGACGGAGCAACGCCGCGGGAGCGAAGAAGGGCUUCGGAUCGUAAAGCUCGGUUGUCAGGGAAGAACAAGUACCGUUCGAACAGGGCGGUACCUUGACGGUACCUGACCAGAAAGCCACGGCUAACUACGUG
rnacentral:rRNA from 1 species